rnacentral:rRNA from 1 species
CUACGGGAUGCUCCAGCAAGGAAUAUUGCGCAAUGGAGGCAACUCUGACGCAGCCAUGCCGCGUGCAGGAAGAAGGCCUUAUGGGUCGUAAACUGCUUUUAUUUAGGAAUAAACCCCCGAACGUGUUCGGGGCUGAAGGUACUAAACGAAUAAGCACCGGCUAACUCCGUGCCAGCAGCCGCGGUAAUACGGAGGGUGCAAGCGUUAUCCGGAUUUAUUGGGUUUAAAGGGUGCGCAGGCGGGCUAUUAAGUCAGUGGUGAAAUCCCGGGGCUCAACUCCGGAACUGCCAUUGAUACUGAUAGUCUUGAGUUUGGUUGAAGUGGGCGGAAUGUAGCAUGUAGCGGUGAAAUGCAUAGAUAUGCUACAGAACACCAAUCGCGAAGGCAGCUCACUAAGCCAAAACUGACGCUCAUGCACGAAAGCGUGGGGAUCAAACAGGAUUAGAUACCCUCGUAGUC